AUAGUCAUUUAUUUGUGCAUUGCCUCAAUAGAUUACAGUACAACAUUAAUGCACCAGAUACUCUAGCUACAAUAAAUAUGUAUAUUGAAAGAUCUAAAAUGGCAAGAAAUCGUACUUGGGCAUCAGAAGUUGAAAUUUAUGCUAUGGCCCACUUACUGCAUACUUCUAUAGUUAUUUUUAAUAAUCCCUGCAGAUGUAGAAGCAAUAUUCUAACUGUGUGUAAUUGUCCACCUUAUAAUUGGAUUGAUGUUCGGUGGACUGCUGCUAUUCGCCACGCUGGCAUAGCUGUGCAAUAUUCAAAUGUUGCACCAUCGCUGUAUCUUUACCAUCCACCCAAUCACUAUGAAGUAGUGACUGACAUAGUGGAUUAAGCUUUACACAGGUAUAAUGGGUUUACACGCUAUAUUCACUUGUUUUGAUAAAUCUAUCAAACAUGUUGAAUGUGUUCUCAUAUGCCUUUUAAAAAUACACGGUUGAUCACCUUAAAUUCACAUGUUUUCAUUGUCAUAAUUUGACUUUUAAAUGUUACAUGUUGAAUGUGUCCCGUGUCCCAAAAAAAUCAUAUACCACAAGCAAGAGAAAGGUCAUUAUGUCACAUACAAUUGUCAAACCAGUUCCAGUAUAGCUACUAUUCAAAAAAUAUGAAAUCUACUGUGUAUAUACUUCAAUACACACAGGAUGAGACAUAACCAGACACACAUACUUAUGAAGAAAAAAAUUAAACGAAAAGCACAUAAAAAGACAAAGGUUUAAAAUGAUUAUAUUGAUAUUAAUAAAAAUGUUUCUCCUCUAAAGAAUACGCAUAUUACCAGACACACAUACUUAUGAAGAAAAGAAAAUUAAUCCUACAAAAAUACUUCAAUAAAAAAUGACUGAAAUUAAUCCUACAAAAAUACUACAAUAAAAAAAUGAUUGGCCCACUGAAUUACAUGUGGAUAUUGACAUAACUAAAAGCACAUAAAAGAAAAAGACAAAGAUUUAAAAUGAUUAUAUUGCUAUUAAUAAAAAUGUUUCUCCUCUUAUUUAUGAUGAUAUAAGUAAAGAAUAUGCAUAUUGGUGUCAACAGAGAAUAGAGAUAGUAUAAAGAUGCUAUUAUGGGAUUAACAAAUACAUCUACUAGUGCAUCACAGUGACUCACACAGGUGUAAAAUAAAACACAUGGAAAGAGGAAGGUUAAAAGAGAAUAUUUUUCCUCUAACUUUAUGACACAAAAUAAAAGCAGCAAAAACAAUAUAACAUGUCCAAGAUGCCAUUACAAUGAAAAUUGCACACACUAGUGUAUCACAGUGACUUACACAGGUGUAAAAUGAAACACAAGAAUAUUUCUCCUCUAACUUUAUGAUAGUACAAUUAAAGAAUAUGCAUAUUCUCAUCAUACAACCUACAAUUAUACAUUACUGGAACUGAUAUUUCUUUUACAAUUUCUUUGGCAAUUUUUCCAGUCCCAUACAUUUCGAGAAAUGGAACUUGACCUUUCUCUUGCACAAACAGAGCAUCAUGUUGCCACUUACAAUGGUGCACUUCAAAUUAUGUACCUACUCAACCAAGCAUAAUAGGAACUGCAAACCUUAAAAAAAAAAAAUAACAGCAGUCAUCAAUAUUAAAUUUUCCAAGCAGCAAACAAUAUACCUCAAAAAGGAGCAUUUUUGUCACAAAUAAAAGCAAGAAUUUGCAUAAUUUACUACAUUACAUUAAGUAUUUUUUCUUAAUACUAUUGUUGUCACUGUCUCUUUCUCUUUGUACUAGACCAUCACAAAAUUCUCAUUUUAUUACACUAACCAUCAAUACUCAAAUCAAACUAUAAGUCAUUCUAAAUUAUGAUGCUCAACAAAAAAAAACCUGACCAUAUCAUUGAAAUAAAUUAAUACUACAUUUUUAAACAAAAAUGGUCAUCAUUGUUUCUUCAUCAUAAAACAGUCAAAAUUCAUUGCAGUUCUUUCUUGUCAUUUUACUAUUAACAAAUAUAUUACCCAGUCAUAAGUAAGAAAUAAUAAUGCUCAUCUAUUAUAAAGGCAGUGAACACAUAAUAACAAUUAACUUGUUCUUAUCACUCUUAUUUGCAUUUCCCUAGAGUAUAUUUUCUCAUUGUAAAACAACACCUUUCAUGGAGAUGUCUAUCAAUAUUAUUAUCAUAGAUAUCUAUGUCUCUUCGUCAUAAUAACUUACCUUUAAUCAUCAUUGGCUCAUUUUGCAUAGUAUAAAAAUGACAUAAAAAGUAACAUCUAUUCAGCAAAUCACAGCGGCUAUCACAAUUAUUAAUACAUAUUUUACACUUUUUAGAUGAAACAUUAUGCUUGUCAUUUUUUACUUCUCAAUCAUCAUAAAGCAAUGUCCCUAGUGACACUAUUCAUGUUAUCAAAAAAAAAACAAUCUACAAUGAUUGCUUUGCAGUACUUAAUACAGAAUCAAGACAGAAUUUAAGUAGAAAACAUGACAACCCAUAGUACCAUAUCUAAAAUUAUAUAUGUAUAACAUGAUAAUUUACUGUCUUUUAGGAAAAGUUAAUUUCUUCACAUGGACACUAAUAGCAAGUACACAACUGCAUAUGCCUAAUGUUCUCUAACACAUGAUGGAUACCUUUUUGACUGCCAGCAUUCUUACAUUAAACAAAUCUUUCUACAUGUAUAUCACUUUCAUAUACAGUUACUUUUACAUCAGUUCCUACAACCAGGAGAGGUUUGUCCACAUUCAUGACAUAACAUUUCCUGACUCUCCACUCUCCCUUCAUUCCCUCUGUCUUUGCUAAAUGCUCCUCCCAUAAAAAGCAAGCAUUCAUUCAUAAUACCACCGACUGCUGAUUUAUAUAUA